UUAAAUUAGGAAUUUCUUAAACACGUAACAGGAUCAUGUGCUCUUUGCCAUUGUAUCUCUCCCCCUAAUUUAAAGAUGAAAUACAUUCACCCAAAAUAUAUGGGAAGCUGCUUUUUAGCAGAUGCUGGUUAUGCUAGUUGAUAACAGCAGAGAGUCUGUCCUUUACAUUCGAGUUCGAACCUUCCUCUUCCUAGGGUAGAUUAUAGCUUCUAUUAAAAAGUAUAGAUGUGCUUCCAAUUAAUUGACUAAAAGACAAAAAGUUUGAUCUCCCUUUCCGUCUCCCUCUUAUCUCUCAUGUCAUGACGACUAAAAUGGAACUCUGAGCAAUAUUUCAAUAAGUUGUAGCAUCAAUCUCACGCCAAAAUGUACUAUCAAUCACAUGAGUAAAGGUUUUUGUGUUUUUUCCCUCUCUCUUUUGUCUUGGGUUGUGGAAAAUCUGUGUGUGUGUGUUUUUUGUUUUAAAGAAAAAAAAAAAUAUUGGUUUUGUGUUUAAAUUGUUGUCCUUUUGAUGGCAGGUCUCUCUCUCAUUUGGGCACUCACAGACUUGACUCAUCAUCUCUGCAAAAAAGGUAAUUCUUAUUUGAAAAUCUCGUUUUUGUUUGAGAAAGUUUCUGAAUGUGUUGGGUUAUAUCAACUUGUUUUUGUAUGAGAAAGUUUCUGAAUGUGUUGGUUUAUCUCAACUUACAGGGCGAAAUUUUGUCUACAUUUCGGUUGUUUUAGGCGCUUCUUCUCAUCACAUCACUUUGGGUUUUUCUUCAUUUUUGGUUUAUUUUGCUGUUUUGUUUUUGUCUUUCUUCACUUGUGCUGGAUGGAUGGACUUCUUGUUGGUUUGUUUGGGGUUUGAUUUCUGUGAUUUGGAGGGGGUUUACUUUUUAUACUAGGGGAGCUGAUUAGGCUUGCAAAGAAUCAGAUUCAGAACGUGUAUUUCAAUGUCUUCGAUUGAGCAUUUUGUAUCUAAAAUAGUGAGUGAAGUAGUGUAUUAUGGCUCCAUUUGUCUUCAAAGGCUCACAUGUUCUGGUUGAAAGAUCAUCUUCAACUGGUCGCUGAUCGUUUAGGUGUUUUUUCAAAUGCUUGCAAAAGAUGCUGUCUGACCGUUGUAGUGCUUGAAAGAUCUUUAGUUAAUACUUCCAACUAGAUGAUUUUUCUUGUAACCCAUAUCAACUCUAAGCUCAUAAAGCAUCCAUCUUUAAGAUUCAAGCUUUUGUAAGUUGGCAUUCUCUUUAGAGUCUAUGCGGGUCGGAUGUUGAUAUGGAUCUAGCUUCAGGGGUUUACUAAUUCUGUUCUGAUCUUUUAAAGACAUUUAGUUUGCUAUAUUAUGGCUUAGACGAUGAAGAAAUAGUCUACAUUGUGAUUUUUCUUCUGUAUUGAUCAAUUUAUCAGAUGUAUAUUGGUUUAUGGGUUUCCCUUGUUUGUUUUAAAAUUCUUUGUAUGCUUGGUUCUUACAACUUAUAAGCACAAUAAUAUUCUAUUCUAAAUGUGGAUUUUCAUUUGGGGUUUACAGAAUACUGAUUGAUCACUGUGGGAAUGGAUGAUCACGUACCAACUAUCACCCAUGAAUUGCUCAUCAGGCUCUCUCUUCCGAAAGAAGAAGAUGAUGAUGCGAUUCUUCUCAAGAUUCAGUCUCAACAGCAUCCUGACAUCUCCUACAUGACCUGCCCAAGUCUGCCUCUUGGACAUGUACUUCGAGAUUACUGUAGACGUUCUUACCUACACUAAGAAGCAGUACGUCUCCUUUAUGAUGGAAAAAGGGUCAGAGAGAAGGAUACCCCGGAACAGCACGAGAUGGAGAAUGAGGAUGUUAUUGAUGCAAUGUUGGAUCAGAUUGCCGGCGGUGGCCAUGUUCUUUGAUCUAUUUUAUUUAGCUGCUGCUAUGAACUUAGUCAUUAUGGAGCCUCCCCUUGUAAUUUUCUUCUCAAUGAUCAUUGGCUGCCUUGACUGGAAAGCAGUCAUUAGUAUGUUCAGUUAUCGAAUUGCUAGAAUAUCAUCAUCAGUUUGGGUCCUGAUUAGUCAUCACUAUGCAACCAAACACCCACUCUCUAAACAACCAGAAGUGCAUUUAAUAACAAUAUAUAUGCAUUAAAUAAUGAGAUAUGCAGGGGAGUUUGGAGAGGUUUGGAAUUUGGAAAUAGGAAUUGAAUGAUAUUUGACUAGAAUACAUGGUCCAAUUACAUGUGUGGCUGCUUCAUUGUCUUCAUUUGUUUGUAAUGGUUGGUAUUACGAGUACAUACCCAGCGUUUGAAGUUGAACGCCAGUCCAUAGAUAGAUAGAUAUAUAUAUAUAUAUAUAUAUAAUUUUUUUAUACACAUAGCUUCUAAGAAGCUGCAGUGCAGGCUGAGGCAUUGUUUGUGUUGUGGGAAUAUGGAUAUGGACAGACGAACAUCCACCCAGGAAUCUCAUCAGGCUUUCUCUUGUGAAAGAAGAAGAUCCUAUAAUUCUCAAGCUGCAAAAACAAGAUGAACACGAUAUGUUCUACAGGACUGGUUGAAGUGUGCCGCUGAAAUAUCUGAUUCGAGAUUAUUGUGAACGUAAACAUCUUGUUUAUGAAGAAAUGCGUUUCCUUUUCGAUGGAAAAAGGAUAAACGGAAGUGAAACUCCAGAACAGUUGGAAAUGGAGGACGAUGAUGUUAUUGAUGUUAUGUCCGAUCAGUUUGGUGGCCAGGCCUGCCCA
rnacentral:lncRNA from 1 species